AUAUAGGAGGUCUAGUUUUAAGCAAAAAGUUUAAAGUUGAGCAGAUAUAUCAGAACCGUUGAAUUAAUAGCCAGAUGUUAUUUCCAUUCUUCCGCUGUAUUACCGUUGGAUCAGCAAUCCACUGAGCUCAAACGUGACUUUUCAAUAGAAAGACCGUUUUUUCUCCUCCAAAUAAUAAGGGAAACGAUAUAUCCCACCCGGCCGAUCUCACGCACAGCAUCGCCCGGGCGCACGGCCGUUGGAUCUAAAGUGCCUAAGCCACGCAAUCGUUAUCCAGAAAGAUCUCACCAGCGUCUUGACCGCACGCGUCCUUAUCCUGAAGCAAGCCACGCACACUCCUCCACACGUUUUCCCCUCUCCAUCCCCAUCCCCAUUGCCGCCUCCAAGCUAAGCUUCACACAUCCGCCGCUGCUAGCUCUGUUGCAGCGCUACUGCAAGCGGAGAUGCGCCCCGCCGCAAGCUGGCAGUCGGUGCAACAACCUACAGCAAGCGGGAGGCGGCCAUGGCCACAAGUGCUGCAGCGGGGGAGGCGCCGAUGCUGCGAGUCCAUGGCUGCCGGUGCUGCGUGGCCAUGGUCGACGGUGAUGCUGCAGGGAGAAGCGGCGGUGCUGCGUGGCCAUGGUCGACGGUGAUGCUGCGAACGAUCCACCGGUGCUGCAAGGACAACGCGAAGAUGCUGUGACCGGUGUGGGGCGGCUCUGCGAGCCCUUGACCGCCGGUGAUGCUGCAAACGGUGGGCGUUUGUGCUGCAAGGGCGAGACGAAGAUGCUGCGACUGGUGUGCGGUGGUGCUUCGAGGCCAUGGCCACCGGUGCUGCAGGGGAGGCGAAGGUGUUGCAAGGCCAUGACCGCCGCCGGAGCUGCAAGGGCGAGGCGACGAAGCUGGCAUCGGUGCGCGGCAGGGCUGCAGACGCUGCUGCAAGCGCUGUGCUACAAGCAGUGGCCAUCUCUCCGCCAGUGGUACCGCAAGCCCAUAUCAGAUGUGUUGCAAGCCGGCCGCCGGCACGACCGGUGAGGAUCCAUGGGCUCGUCAUGUGAGGAACGAAGGGAGAGGGGUGGGGAUUAGUUUCUUCUGUGGAGGAAAAACGUGGAAGAAGACGAGGAUGGGGAAGACUCGAGAUCGUUAAUUUCUUCCACGUGACAGCCAGGGGGUGCGAGCGUUCCAAGCGGAUGGUCCUAAUGGUGGCUGACUUUUCCUCCAGGCCGCCUGGCCGAUGCCUAGCACUCACCAGAUAAUAAUGAGUAAAAUGCAUCAGAGAUCUCCUAAUUCUUACGUAAAAGUCCAAUCAGAGAUCUCCUAAUUCUUACGUAAAAGUCUCAAGUUAGUCCUAAUUUUUUGAAACUGCACAUUUGAAUCUAAUUGUUUCAUAAGUGGUUCUAUUUGGGUCCACAUGGUGGGUGUUAGAGUGGACUAUUUUUUGCAAAAAAAACCCUGCCUUUUUCCUUGCUCUUCCCGGUGCCCCGUUCCCUCCUCUGCUCUCCUCCUCUCUUCUCCCCCCACCGAAAUCUCUCUGCCGCCUCCAUCUCAUGCUCGGGCGAGCUCCCCUGCUGCCCUCCGCCCCGCGCGCACCACCCGAUCCUGCCGCACCGCCCCGCGUUCUCCCCCGCGAGCGUCUGACCCUGCGCGCACCUGUAGCAACUGCGACGGGGGAUCGUCUUCCCCGACCGCGGCCGGGUGCCACCGCCGCCCACGCCGUUGAUUGCGAGCCACAGCACCCCGAAGCAGCGCGCCGACCGCGCGAAUCCCCAACCGUCGUCCCCCAUCUCUCUCUCUCUCGCUCUACAGCGCCCCCGCGUCGCAGAACCUCGCCACCGCUGCAAGCUCUCCGUCGCCGGCGGGCUCCACGGUACUAACUCCCGCACCCGCGUCAGAGAUAUUGCAAAAAAGCCAUUAUAAACUUUGCCGCCCCCGUGGUACUAACUCCCGCGCCCGCGCCGCGCUGAGCUCGUAGAACAGGGAGAAUCCGUCGUUUCUCAGCUCAUCGAUCCUGCGGUGAGGAUGCGAAUGAGGGCCGUCAGCAGUGCAGAUCUUGCUGACUCCUCCGCUCGACAUGUUCUGGAGGUGGUGCCGCCGGUGGAGGCGGAGACGAGGCGGACCGGAGGGAAUCGGGGACGAGGCAGACCAGCAGGAGUCGGGGACGAGGUCAACGGGGAUCUCACGGUGUGGGAUGUGAGGGGGACCGGGAGGAGCGGAGAUGGUGCGGUAUCUCGCGGAGCUGUUCUUCACCGACGGCGGCCGGCGCCGAGGCGGGAGAAGGGGCUCAGCCCAUUAGCGCAGCCUUUCUGGAGUUGAAUUCGCCUCUGUGUGGCCGGUGAGAGGGACAGAGGAGGGAGAGGACCGCUUAAUAGAAAAGAGAGAGAAACAGGGGGAUUCUGCAAGAUUACGUUUAAUGCUAACCGUCAUGUGGGCCCAAGCGCCAAUGUGGCAUAUGUCAACGCGGCACGUCACUCGGUCAGACGCGGGUGAACGCCCUCGUGAACUCCACUGAACCACUUAUGAAACUAUAUUAUGACUAAAGAACCUUUACGAAAGAGGACUGCGGGUGCAUUUUCGUCAAUAAUAAUCUCCAUUCUCGAGUAACAUAGGAUUUGCCGUGUAGCAUACCCAAAUAAAUUUUUUGUUGCGCGUAAGCACCUUUGUCAACCUUUGUUGAGACACCUCGUUCUGCAGCCGUUGCAAAUGUGGAUCCAUAGCCAAAAGCACACGAGCGAGGGACGAGGAGCCGGCGGCGGCGGCAGCUCCUUCUGCCACCUCCGCCCCUCUACUGGGGAUUCCACCCAUCUAGCUGUGUCCAUUCGAGUCGCCACCGCCGCCGCCCGCCUCUGAUCCUCCUACUUCCCCGGGAUUCCCCUCGCUGUUUCAGGUUUUCAGUCUGAAGUUCCCUCGUUAAUUCGUCCCCAAGUUCUAAGGUGGGUAAGGAAGACUUAAGGACAAAGGAAAAGGUAGGAUGGUGAUGGUACCAUUCUAGAUUUCUAGGUGGUCAAUGUAAUUGCAAUGCCGACAUCUCUCCCUGUAACCUAAUGCAACGAUGAUGAUGCUCACGUUGGAUGUUUCCAUCCAUUUUCCAAGGAGACUUCACAAGUCACAAAUCUGUACAGUCAGCUAGCCAUGACUUCAUCGGCUUCUGCGGUCGGUGGAAAGAUCCCAGAAUAUGCUGCUCAAGCUAAACUAUCAGCAGCCAUUGGUGUUACUCAACUUGGAAGGACGAAAGUUUCUUGAAAAUAGUACUAGAAUAGGUGAGGUUCCGUAAGCCUAUUUGGUUUCU